GCGGUCGUGGCGGAAUUGGCAGACGCGCUACUUUGAGGGGGUAGUGUUCACAAGACGUGUGGGUUCAAGUCCCACCGACCGCACCA
rnacentral:tRNA from 11 species